UAGCAGUGAGUAAAUAUCUCUUUGUCCA
rnacentral:misc_RNA from 1 species